AUAAUGAUAUUCCAAUUUUCUCUUGUCACAAGACACCUUUUUUUUUUUUUUUAUAUAAACAAUGCACAUUCCCAUGUCUUUCAGGUCUCUUGUCCCUGCCCUGUGCGUUUGAAAUCAGCUUGAAAUGAUUAUCGGAGAACUGCCAGAUGGACAGAUGGACUGACACAUGGUACAAUAAUAUAAGACACAUUUUCUGAGACCAAAACAGUUCCUAAAACCAUUACCACCCACUUCUGUUUGCUCUGGAUGGGAGGGAAAGUGAAUCCCACUGAAGAGAAGAUUAUGCUGAAGAUGAUGUCUUCGCUGAAGAGUAAUUACUUUAAAUUGUGCUUACCCAGUUUACCCUUUGCACAUCUGACGCUGCUGAGGGAACAAAGACAUUGGAGCAAGAUGUGGAAGCACAACUGGUGGACUAUGUAAGCAUGGUUCAAACCCAAAUUAAGCAGAGAACAAAUAAG
rnacentral:lncRNA from 1 species